GACGAACGCUGGCGGCGUGCUUAACACAUGCAAGUCGAACGGAAAGGCCCUGCUUUUGUGGGGUGCUCGAGUGGCGAACGGGUGAGUAACACGUGAGUAACCUGCCCUUGACUUUGGGAUAACUUCAGGAAACUGGGGCUAAUACCGGAUAGGAGCUCCUGCUGCAUGGUGGGGGUUGGAAAGUUUCGGCGGUUGGGGAUGGACUCGCGGCUUAUCAGCUUGUUGGUGGGGUAGUGGCUUACCAAGGCUUUGACGGGUAGCCGGCCUGGGAGGGUGACCGGCCACAUAGGGACUGGGAUACGGCCCGGACGCCUACGGGAGGCAGCAGUGGGGAAUAUUGCACAAUGGGCGGAGGCCGGAGGCAGCAACGCCGCGUGCGGGAUGACGGCCUUCGGGUUGUAAACCGCUUUCGCCUGUGACGAAGCGUGAGUGACGGUAAUUGGUAAAGAAGCACCGGCUAACUACGU
rnacentral:rRNA from 1 species